CUUGUGGGCACUAGACACCCUAAGUAGACAUCAUCCCCAGAGAGAGAGAGAGAGAGAGAGAGAGAGAGAGAGAGAGACUAAGAAAUAAGAAAUUUUGAAGAAUUUAAAUAAACUUUAGAGUAGGGCAACAUAGAAAAUAUGAUAAUUUUCAUGUGGAGAUCCUGCCUCUUCCAUUCACCAACUAAUAUCAAGAAAUUAAGCACUCCCGAGAGAAUCCCAUGAAGUCCAAACAAAGGAGCUCAGCUUGCCCUACUGCCUAACUGGAACCCCUGGUAACAGCAAAGUUAGAGACCACACCACAGCAAAGCAGAGGUGAAAGAAGUAAGUGGUGACCAGUGGCUUCAGAGAAGGAUGCAGAUGCAGACACAUGGGAUUUAAACAGCCUUGAGAGGUUGGCACAUAAUCUGCUGGAGAUGAGAUUGAA
rnacentral:lncRNA from 1 species